AAGGAUUUAAGUUAAAAACGAAACUAGCAACCUUCAAAGUUGUAAAUAGAGGGCUCUCUAAGCCUUG
rnacentral:tRNA from 1 species